rnacentral:rRNA from 1 species
AAAGGGGGUGAAAGGCCCCCUCGCCGUAAGCCCAAGGUUUCCUACGCAACGUUCAUCGGCGUAGGGUGAGUCGGCCCCUAAGGCGAGGCAGAAAUGCGUAGCUGAUGGGAAGCAGGUUAAUAUUCCUGCACCAUUGUUAAAUGCGAUGGGGGGACGGAUCGCGGAAGGUUGUCCGGGUGUUGGAAGUCCCGGUCCUUGCAUUGGAGAAGGCGCUUAGGCAAAUCCGGGCGCGGAAUUCAAGGGUGCGAGGCCAUUCACUUCGGUGAAGAAGCAACUGGAAGUGGUUCCAAGAAAAGCCUCUAAGCUUCAGUUUAACAAGACCGUACCGCAAACCGACACAGGUGGGCGAGAUGAGUAUUCUAAGGCGCUUGAGAGAACUCGGGAGAAGGAACUCGGCAAAUUGGUACCGUAACUUCGGGAUAAGGUACGCCCCUGUAGCUUGACUGGCCUGCGCCAGAAGGGUGAAGGGGUUGCAAUAAACUGGUGGCUGCGACUGUUUAAUAAAAACACAGCACUCUGCAAACACGAAAGUGGACGUAUAGGGUGUGACGCCUGCCCGGUGCCGGAAGAUUAAAUGAUGGGGUGCAAGCUCUUGAUUGAAGUCCCGGUAAACGGCGGCCGUAACUAUAACGGUCCUAAGGUAGCGAAAUUCCUUGUCGGGUAAGUUCCGACCUGCACGAAUGGCGUAACGAUGGCCACACUGUCUCCUCCCGAGACUCAGCGAAGUUGAAGUGUUUGUGAUGAUGCAAUCUCCCCGCGGCUAGACGGAAAGACCCCAUGAACCUUUACUGUAGCUUUGCAUUGGACUUUGAACCGAUCUGUGUAGGAUAGGUGGGAGGCUAUGAAGCGUGAACGCCAGUUUGCGUGGAGCCGUCCUUGAAAUACCACCCUGGUUUGUUUGAGGUUCUAACCUUGGCCCGUGAUCCGGGUCGGGGACAGUGCAUGGUAGGCAGUUUGACUGGGGCGGUCUCCUCCCAAAGUGUAACGGAGGAGUACGAAGGUACGCUAGGUACGGUCGGAAAUCGUGCUGAUAGUGCAAUGGCAUAAGCGUGCUUAACUGCGAGACCGACAAGUCGAGCAGGUGCGAAAGCAGGUCAUAGUGAUCCGGUGGUUCUGUAUGGAAGGGCCAUCGCUCAACGGAUAAAAGGUACUCUGGGGAUAACAGGCUGAUACCGCCCAAGAGUUCAUAUCGACGGCGGUGUUUGGCACCUCGAUGUCGGCUCAUCUCAUCCUGGGGCUGUAGCCGGUCCCAAGGGUAUGGCUGUUCGCCAUUUAAAGAGGUACGUGAGCUGGGUUUAAAACGUCGUGAGACAGUUUGGUCCCUAUCUGCCGUGGGCGCUGGAUAUUUGAAGGGGGCUGCUCCUAGUACGAGAGGACCGGAGUGGACGAACCUCUGGUGUACCGGUUGUCACGCCAGUGGCAUCGCCGGGUAGCUAUGUUCGGAAGAGAUAACCGCUGAAAGCAUCUAAGCGGGAAACUCGCCUUAAGAUGAGAUAUCCCCGGGGCUUCGAGCCCCUUGAAGGGUCGUUCAAGACCAGGACGUUGAUAGGUCAGGUGUGGAAGCGCAGUAAUGCGUUAAGCUAACUGAUACUAAUUGCCCGUAAGGCUUGAUCCU